rnacentral:tRNA from 1 species
AUAGAGGAGCCCGGUAGCUCGUCAGGCUCAUAACCUUGAGGUCGCUGGUUCAAAUCCGGCUCCCGCAACCA